rnacentral:rRNA from 1 species
GAUAAGGAGCUUGCUCCUUUGACGUUAGCGGCGGACGGGUGAGUAACACGUGGAUAACCUACCUAUAAGACUGGGAUAACUUCGGGAAACCGGAGCUAAUACCGGAUAACAUAUUGAACCGCAUGGUUCAAUAGUGAAAGGCGGCUUUGCUGUCACUUAUAGAUGGAUCCGCGCCGUAUUAGCUAGUUGGUAAGGUAACGGCUUACCAAGGCAACGAUACGUAGCCGACCUGAGAGGGUGAUCGGCCACACUGGAACUGAGACACGGUCCAGACUCCUACGGGAGGCAGCAGUAGGGAAUCUUCCGCAAUGGGCGAAAGCCUGACGGAGCAACGCCGCGUGAGUGAUGAAGGUCUUCGGAUCGUAAAACUCUGUUAUCAGGGAAGAACAAAUGUGUAAGUAACUGUGCACAUCUUGACGGUACCUGAUCAGAAAGCCACGGCUAACUACGUGCCAGCAGCCGCGGUAAUACGUAGGUGGCAAGCGUUAUCCGGAAUUAUUGGGCGUAAAGCGCGCGUAGGCGGUUUUUUAAGUCUGAUGUGAAAGCCCACGGCUCAACCGUGGAGGGUCAUUGGAAACUGGAAAACUUGAGUGCAGAAGAGGAAAGUGGAAUUCCAUGUGUAGCGGUGAAAUGCGCAGAGAUAUGGAGGAACACCAGUGGCGAAGGCGACUUUCUGGUCUGUAACUGACGCUGAUGUGCGAAAGCGUGGGGAUCAAACAGGAUUAGAUACCCUGGUAGUCCACGCCGUAAACGAUGAGUGCUAAGUGUUAGGGGGUUUCCGCCCCUUAGUGCUGCAGCUAACGCAUUAAGCACUCCGCCUGGGGAGUACGACCGCAAGGUUGAAACUCAAAGGAAUUGACGGGGACCCGCACAAGCGGUGGAGCAUGUGGUUUAAUUCGAAGCAACGCGAAGAACCUUACCAAAUCUUGACAUCCUUUGACUGCUCUAGAGAUAGAGUCUUCCCCUUCGGGGGACAAAGUGACAGGUGGUGCAUGGUUGUCGUCAGCUCGUGUCGUGAGAUGUUGGGUUAAGUCCCGCAACGAGCGCAACCCUUAAGCUUAGUUGCCAUCAUUAAGUUGGGCACUCUAAGUUGACUGCCGGUGACAAACCGGAGGAAGGUGGGGAUGACGUCAAAUCAUCAUGCCCCUUAUGAUUUGGGCUACACACGUGCUACAAUGGACAAA